rnacentral:lncRNA from 1 species
UUCCUCAACAUGAAAUCCAUCUUGUGAUCUUUAGCAGGUAAAAAAGGUCAGCAAGGACAAGGAUAGAACCUGGAAGUCUGGAAUUAGAGAAUUGCAUUGAUUCAAAAAGUCCUGAUGAUGAUUUUUAUUUACUUAAUUUGUUUAUGUUCCUGUGAUCUUUGGUGGAGAUGUUAUCAUGUGAUCAAUCACAUGUUAUGCAAGAGUGAUUUGUGGUAAACUUGAGUCUCCCUUCCAUUUUA